AACUCAUGAAGAGGACGAGAGGGGUCUGGCCCGAUGACCGUCCGGCAACCUGCCCGCAAGGCAAGGUGCCAAAGCCAGCCACGGUGAGAUGCCGCGGUGCCAUGAGGU
rnacentral:ncRNA from 2 species